rnacentral:lncRNA from 1 species
ACACGAUGAUAAUUAUAAUUUUAAUACCCAAUAUUCACGGCGUUAACUUUGCAAUUCAUAAAUUUCGCCGUCACACUAUCCCUCUCCAAAGUGGAGUAUAGACUAAUUUGUCAAAUAAGAGCAACGGCUAGUCGUGCUGACUGCUGAGGUGGAGGUAACGAUGAUUAGGUGGUCCGUCGCAAAUUAUUUGUUCUUUCUAUUCUUCCUUUUGUACUAUUUGAUUUUGCAAAAUUUAUAUGUUUUCAGUACAUUUUUUUUAUAAUAAAAAUUAUUAGAGAUGUUCCUUUUCCAUCCAUUUUCUAUUUUUUAUUUACUUAUUUUAAUAUACUCCUAUAUGAAAUUACUCAAAUUAGUACUACUAGUAUUCUAGCAGUAUAAUAUAAAAAGGGAACUCUCUUUUCGGCCCAAAAGUAUUAUAUAAUCAUUGUUUUACCCCAAAGGAUUCCUACUUUUCCUCUUUUUGUCCUUUUAGUAUUUCUCUUUGUAAGCCCACACUUUUG